CUCCUACGGGAGGCAGCAGUGGGGAAUAUUGGGCAAUGGGGGAAACCCUGACCCAGCAACGCCGCGUGAAGGAAGAAGGCCUUCGGGUUGUAAACUUCUUUUACCAGGGACGAAGGACGUGACGGUACCUGGAGAAAAAGCAACGGCUAACUACGUGCCAGCAGCCGCGGCUAAAACGUAGGUCACAAGCGUUGUCCGGAAUUACUGGGUGUAAAGGGAGCGCAGGCGGGAAGACAAGUUGGAAGUGAAAUCCAUGGGCUCAACCCAUGAACUGCUUUCAAAACUGUUUUUCUUGAGUAGUGCAGAGGUAGGCGGAAUUCCCGGUGUAGCGGUGGAAUGCGUAGAUAUCGGGAGGAACACCAGUGGCGAAGGCGGCCUACUGGGCACCAACUGACGCUGAGGCUCGAAAGUGUGGGUAGCAAACAGGAUUAGAUACCCUGGUAGUCCACACUGUAAACGAUGAUUACUAGGUGUUGGAGGAUUGACCCCUUCAGUGCCGCAGUUAACACAAUAAGUAAUCCACCUGGGGAGUACGACCGCAAGGUUGAAACUCAAAGGAAUUGACGGGGGCCCGCACAAGCAGUGGAGUAUGUGGUUUAAUUCGACGCAACGCGAAGAACCUUACCAAGUCUUGACAUCCUGCGACGCACAUAGAAAUAUGUGUUUCCUUCGGGACGCAGAGACAGGUGGUGCAUGGUUGUCGUCAGCUCGUGUCGUGAGAUGUUGGGUUAAGUCCCGCAACGAGCGCAACCCUUAUGGUCAGUUACUACGCAAGAGGACUCUGGCCAGACUGCCGUUGACAAAACGGAGGAAGGUGGGGAUGACGUCAAAUCAUCAUGCCCUUUAUGACUUGGGCUACACACGUACUACAAUGGCGUUAAACAAAGAGAAGCAAGACCGCGAGGUGGAGCAAAACUCAGAAACAACGUCCCAGUUCGGACUGCAGGCUGCAACUCGCCUGCACGAAGUCGGAAUUGCUAGUAAUCGCAGAUCAGCAUGCUGCGGUGAAUACGUUCCCGGGCCUUGUACACACCGC
rnacentral:rRNA from 1 species